rnacentral:rRNA from 1 species
GAACGCUUUUUCUUUCACCGGAGCUUGCUCCACCGAAAGAAAAGGAGUGGCGAACGGGUGAGUAACACGUGGGUAACCUGCCCAUCAGAAGGGGAUAACACUUGGAAACAGGUGCUAAUACCGUAUAACAAUCGAAACCGCAUGGUUUCGGUUUGAAAGGCGCUUUUGCGUCACUGAUGGAUGGACCCGCGGUGCAUUAGCUAGUUGGUGAGGUAACGGCUCACCAAGGCAACGAUGCAUAGCCGACCUGAGAGGGUGAUCGGCCACAUUGGGACUGAGACACGGCCCAAACUCCUACGGGAGGCAGCAGUAGGGAAUCUUCGGCAAUGGACGGAAGUCUGACCGAGCAACGCCGCGUGAGUGAAGAAGGUUUUCGGAUCGUAAAACUCUGUUGUUAGAGAAGAACAAGGAUGAGAGUAGAAUGUUCAUCCCUUGACGGUAUCUAACCAGAAAGCCACGGCUAACUACGUGCCAGCAGCCGCGGUAAUACGUAGGUGGCAAGCGUUGUCCGGAUUUAUUGGGCGUAAAGCGAGCGCAGGCGGUUUCUUAAGUCUGAUGUGAAAGCCCCCGGCUCAACCGGGGAGGGUCAUUGGAAACUGGGAAACUUGAGUGCAGAAGAGGAGAGUGGAAUUCCAUGUGUAGCGGUGAAAUGCGUAGAUAUAUGGAGGAACACCAGUGGCGAAGGCGGCUCUCUGGUCUGUAACUGACGCUGAGGCUCGA